rnacentral:lncRNA from 1 species
CUGGCCUCUGGUCUCUGACCAGAUCCCUUUCUCUUCCCAUCCUGGCUCGGACCCCACACGACCAGGGAUUUCAUUCACAGGCACAGAUGUGCCACAGUGAGUCCAAGCUCUGUCCACACCCCUUGCAACCGCCUGCAGUGGCAAACCGCUCAGACCUAAGAGGAGCACCUCACCCAGAGGCUGGACCCAGGGACCUGUAAAGGCUCUGGAAAUAGACUCAGGCCCUUUGGGAGAGGAAAUUCUAUCUGAUUACUUGAAGUGUGGUCUUAAAGAGGAGCUGGCUCUGGGUGGGCAUGACCCAUUGGCCUGUGGAUUCUUCAUCCCACGGGGAAGAAGAAAGAAACCGAGCAGGUCCCCUGGAGCAUGGGUCGGGACAGGGGCCCUCUGCUCUGGUCCAAGGAUGGUAGCAGACAGAGAAGAGGAGGAAGAGUCAAGGAAGUGAGAGAGGGCAGGAAAUAGCAGGAAAGGAGGAAGAAAAUUACACAAGGAGCCAACCCAUCAGGGACACAGAGGACAAACCCAGGAAGGCGUUUCUGUCCAGGAGAGAAGAGCAAGAACGUCCUGCACAAAGACGUGAGACUUCUACUCAAAAGGGAAAAAAGAGCCACACGUAGGCAUGUGCUAGUGAAGCUCAAAACACUUAAAUUGAACUUUGACUUUCAAGAUAUGGAAACUCGCAAAUAUUUUGGUAUAUAAAAUGAAUUACAUUCAAAAAUGGAAAUGAAUUAAAUGAUCCGAGUUUCCUGUAAUAUUAAAUCACACAAGGUAAGAGAGUCAAAUAAUGGCUCUGAAUCCUGGCAGAUAAUUAGAACAAAU